CUGCCAACCCGGAAGGAGCCCGGAGGGGCCCGGGCGGCCAGGGCGCCCCCGCCAGGAGGCCCGCCAGGUGUCCACCUGAGCCCCACGCCCUGCGCCGCGGGGCCCUUUUGGGGGCGGGGUGCCAGCUCCGAGGUGUCCUCCCACGGGCUGUAGACUGGGAAACUGAGGCCCGGGCCACGGUCCCAGACGCAGCCGGGACCCGAACCCACCUCACCUGAGCGAAUGAUAUCCGGGACUCAUCCUUUUUCGACACCUUUGCGGGAUCCAGCCCUCCAAGGAAAGCUUCCUGAGCAGUGCGCGCCACGUGUAUUGGGCACCUCACCGCGGCCACUUCACAUCCUAUCUCAGGUGGAGAAACUAAGCCACAGAAAGGAGCUGUCAUUUACCUAAAGCACCGUGGCAGGGGUUUGGCAGAGCCAGGAUUUGUACCCAGAUCGCCUGACUUCGGAGAGUAACAGCUCUUAACCACAGCACUUCGGUCUAUGCCUUGAUUUCACCAUAUGUAACAAGCAGCUGUGCCACUUUGCAUUCCCACCAGCAGCACGCAAGCGUUCGAAUUUCUCCGCACGCUCCCCAACAGGACAAGAGCUUGCCGUGUUGCCCCAGGCUGGUCUCAAACUCCUAGCCUCAAGCAAACUUCCUGUCUCGGCCUUUCAAAACCCUGAGAUUACAAGCAUAAGAAAAGAAAAUCUUGUAAGAUGAAAGCUGAAGGAUGAGAGCAAUUAAUUGAUGAAGUAUGAUGAUCCAGGUGUCCCUGGGUGAAGAAACAACCUCUACAAAGGCCCUGAGAGAUGGGGUCUCCCUAUGCUUCCCAGGCUGGUCUCGAACU
rnacentral:lncRNA from 1 species